AUCACUGGUAUGCUGAUAAUGAUGGAGCCAUGAGGUGUGAUCUGAUACAGCCUGCAACAGGAGGGAGCAGCCAGCAGGGCUUGUACAUCAGCAGAAUGGUUCAGGAACAUUGGAUGUCAUUUGGUUUCAAGAGCCACCUUGAAAGUGAUGAGUUGCUGCUCACCAGAUGUACUUCUUUGUUAUUAUUUACCUAGUGACCGAAUUUUUACGGUCCCUUCACAGACGUCCUCACAAAGUAAAAAUCCAUCCGUAAGUAAAAAAAUCCCGAAUCCUCUCUGUUUGUGCUUUGACCUAUGAUAAUAGUUGCAGAGUGGUAGCUUUGAAAGUCAGCAUCUCAGUACCAGUUGUACAAAAGCAGCACCACCAUCUAUAUCCUCUUGUCGUGACUCCGUAUGGAAUUGGGAUCAGACUAUACUGCAAAAAAAGAGAUCUUCUUGAUUCUCUAAUUCCUUCAGGAACCUGCAGUCAUAUUUUCCAAUAAAUAUGCACGGUAAAGACA
rnacentral:lncRNA from 1 species